rnacentral:rRNA from 1 species
GGUAUUUUGACUGUGCAAAGGUAGCAUAAUCAUUAGUUUUUUAAUUGGAAGCUGGUAUGAAAGGUUUGAUGAGAAAUAGGCUGUCUCUUUGUUGUAAUUAGAACUUGAUUUUUGAGUAAAAAAGCUUAAAUUUUAUAUAAAGACGAGAAGACCCUAUAGAGUUUUAUAAAUUUAAUGAGUAUAUAAUAGGUUUUUGGUUUUUUAUUAAAUUUAUUUUGUUGGGGUGAUAUAAAAAUUAAAUUAACUUUUUAUUAUUUUUACACUAGUUAGUGAGUAUUUGAUCCUUAUUUUUGGAUUAUAAGAUUAAAUUACCUAAGG